AUCAAAACAUCGUUCUACAUUAGUUUUCACUAUUCUUUGCCAAAAAUUAGCUAACAAUUUUUGGCACGCCUAGUGAGACAAUUCUAAUACAAUUUCAUUUUAAUAAUCCACACCACUAUUUUUGUAGGCAACACUACGCCUUCAAAAAUCAGAAGCAUUCUUGGCAAAGAAAUCGCCGAGUCUCAAGACAUUGAGGAAAGUCCCACUACAAAAGGGCUAAAUGUUCCAGUUUCUCUCAUGGUUGAACACCUUGAAAGGAAGUCAGACCCUCAAGAAAAAGAAAUUCAAAAUCCAGUUGCUACAGAAACUGUAUGUACCUUGUCUACUGACUGAGUACAGGGGCAAGAUGAGAUUUGCA
rnacentral:misc_RNA from 1 species